GAUGAACGCUGGCGGCGUGCCUAAUACAUGCAAGUCGAGCGAACAGACGAGGAGCUUGCUCCUCUGACGUUAGCGGCGGACGGGUGAGUAACACGUGGAUAACCUACCUAUAAGACUGGGAUAACUUCGGGAAACCGGAGCUAAUACCGGAUAAUAUAUUGAACCGCAUGGUUCAAUAGUGAAAGACGGUUUUGCUGUCACUUAUAGAUGGAUCCGCGCCGCAUUAGCUAGUUGGUAAGGUAACGGCUUACCAAGGCGACGAUGCGUAGCCGACCUGAGAGGGUGAUAGGCCACACUGGAACGGAGACACGGUCCAGACUCCUAAGGGAGGCAGCAGUAGGGAAUCUUCCGCAAUGGGCGAAAGCAUGACGGAGCAACGCCGCGUGAGUGAUGAAGGUCUUCGGAUCGUAAAACUCUGUUAUUAGGGAAGAACAAAUGUGUAAGUAACUAUGCACGUCUUGACGGUACCUAAUCAGAAAGCCACGGCUAACUACGUG
rnacentral:rRNA from 1 species